rnacentral:lncRNA from 1 species
UUUGAAGAAUUGCAAAAGUUCCUAAUAUUUCCUAUACUUGUUUCCCUAAUCUAAUGUUUACUAAAUAAACUCAUCAUAGAUACCAGGAUUGAAAUUUUGUAAUUGAGCCAGACGCUACUUUCUGCAUGAUUGAAAUCGUAACUGUCAGAGAAUAGAAAAUGCAUCUGCAUAAAUAAUUAUAACUUUAGUGAAUAUUAUACGACAAUGAGUAUAAUUUAAGAUUUAAAAAAUUUCACAAAAGUCAGUAAAUCACAAAAUAUACGUCAUGGUGCCAGUUCUAUCCUAAUAGAUACAUAAAAUCAUCUUGUUUGCAUUAUUGUAGAUCAUUUAUCUAACCAAAGUUAAUGAAGAUUAACUAUGUGAUAAAAUGUCAAAUUGACACACAUUUGUAGGCACUUUUCUGAUCAAAGAUGCAUCUUUUCAGUACGAAUAGGUAUAGAUUACUUUAAAACUGAGAACU